rnacentral:rRNA from 1 species
CAUCAUAGGUGGAUAACUACUUUGUAUCAGUGUGUUGAUACCGCAUGAACAAGUUUAUGCCCGCAUGGGCCAUAAGACGUGUAAAGGCGCCUUUCCGUGUUUCGCUGGAUUGGAUGGAACCCGCGGUUCCAUUUAGCUAGUUAGGUGAUGUUAUCUGGCUCUACCAAGGCCUACGAUGCAUAGCCGACCUGUAGUAGGGUGAUCGGCCACACUGGGACUGAGACACGGCCCAGACUCCUACGGGAGGCAGCAUUAGGGAAUCUUCGUCAAUGGACGAAAGUCUGACCGAGCAACGCCGCGUGAUUGAAGAAGGUUUUCGGAUCGUAAAACUCUGUUGUUAGAGAAGAACAAGGACGUUAGUAACUGAACGUCCCCUGACGGUAUCUAACCAGAAAGCCACGGCUAACUACGUGCCAAGCAGCCGCGGUAAUACGUAGGUGGCAAGCGUUGUCCGGAUUUAUUGGGCGUAAAGCGAGCGCAGCGGUUUCUUAAGUCUGAUGUGAAAGCCCCCGGCUCAACCGGGGAGGGUCAUUGGAAACUGGGAGACUUGAGUGCAGAAGAGGAGAGUGGAAUUCCAUGUGUAGCGGUGAAAUGCGUAGAUAUAUGGAGGAACACCAGUGGCGAUAGGCGGCUCUCUGGUCUGUAACUGACGCUGAGGCUCGAAAGCGUGGGGAGCAAACAGGAUUAGAUACCCUGGUAGUCCACGCCGUGAUACGUAUGAGUGCUAAGUGUUGGAUGGGUUUCCGCCCUUCAGUGCUGCUAGCUAUACGCAUUAAGCACUCCGUACCUGGGGAG